rnacentral:rRNA from 1 species
GCACUUUUUCAAUGUGCUCCCCAACGAGAAGGCGCCGACGCAUUCGUAUGUCAAUCCAUAUCAACUUUCGAUGCCAUUGACUGCACCUACCAAGGUGACCACGUGUAACAGGGAAUCAGGGUUCCAUUCCAUACAGGGACUCUGACAAACGGCUACCAUAUGCAUGGAAGGCAGCAUGUGCGCAAAUGACCCACUCCCGACGCUGGAAGGUAGUGAC